GAUGAACGCUAGCGGCAGGCCUAACACAUGCAAGUCGAGGGGUAGAACACUUCGGUGUUUGAGACCGGCGCACGGGUGCGUAACGCGUAUGCAAUCUACCUUGUACAGGGGAAUAGCCCAGAGAAAUUUGGAUUAAUGCCCCAUAGUAUAUAACCUUCGCAUGUUGGUUAUAUUAAAGUUCCAACGGUACAAGAUGAGCAUGCGUCCCAUUAGUUAGUUGGUAAGGUAACGGCUUACCAAGACGAUGAUGGGUAGGGGUCCUGAGAGGGAGAUCCCCUACACGGGAACUGAGACACGGACCAGACUCCUACGGGAGGCAGCAGUGAGGAAUAUUAGUCAAUGGUCGCAAGACUGAACCAGCCAUGCCGCGUGCAGGAAGACGGUCCUAUGGAUUGUAAACUGCUUUUAUACAGGAAGAAACCCUCCCACGUGUGGGAGCUUGACGGUACUGUAGGAAUAAGUAUCGGCUAACUCCGUGCCAGCCGCCGCAGUAACAC
rnacentral:rRNA from 1 species